rnacentral:rRNA from 1 species
GAUGAACGCUGACAGAAUGCUUAACACAUGCAAGUCAACUUGAAUUUGGGUUUUUAACUUAGGUUUGGGUGGCGGACGGGUGAGUAACGCGUAAAGAACUUGCCUCACAGCUAGGGACAACAUUUGGAAACGAAUGCUAAUACCUAAUAUUAUGAUAAUAGGGCAUCCUAUAAUUAUGAAAGCUAUAAGCGCUGUGAGAGAGCUUUGCGUCCCAUUAGCUAGUUGGAGAGGUAACGGCUCACCAAGGCGAUGGUGGGUAGCCGGCCUGAGAGGGUGAUCGGCCACAAGGGGACUGAGACACGGCCCUUACUCCUACGGGAGGCAGCAGUGGGGAAUAUUGGACAAUGGACCAAGAGUCUGAUCCAGCAAUUCUGUGUGCACGAUGAAGUUUUUCGGAAUGUAAAGUGCUUUCAGUUGGGAAGAAAGAAAUGACGGUACCAACAGAAGAAGUGACGGCUAAAUACGUG